rnacentral:rRNA from 1 species
UACGUAGGAUGCAAGCGAUGUCCGGAUUUAUUGGGUUUAAAGGGUGCGGAGGCGGCCUAUUAAGUUAGUGGUGAAAACGUUCGGCUUAACCGGAUACCCGCCAUUGAUACUGAUAGACUUGAGUGCGACAGAGGGUGUUGGAAUGUGUGGUGUAGCGGUGAAAUGCUUAGAGAUCACGUAGAACACCAAUUGCGAAGGCAGAUGCCUAUGUCGUAACUGACGAUGAGGCACGAAAGAGUGGGGAGCAAACAGG